rnacentral:rRNA from 1 species
UACGAAGGGGGCUAGCGUUGCUCGGAAUCACUGGGCGUAAAGCGCACGUAGGCGGAUCCUUAAGUCGGGGGUGAAAUCCUGGAGCUCAACUCCAGAACUGCCUUUGAUACUGGGAAGCUUGAGUCCGGGAGAGGUGAGUGGAACUCCGAGUGUAGAGGUGAAAUUCGUAGAUAUUGGGAGGAACGCCGGUGGCGAAGGCGGCCAUCUGGGAAGGCACUGACGCUGAGACGCGAAAGCGUGGGGAGCAAACAGG